AAACCUCACUACUGAAUUCCAUGAUCCAACAACCAAAGAUAUAACAAGCUUAACGUUCUGUGACGAUAAAGUUUGUCGACACUUGAACUGGAAUCAAGAUACUACGGUCAGCGAGUGCACCCAAUUAUAUUUACAAACGAUGGGUGCCACGGAAGUCUUGAAAUACCACAGGGUAUUCUUGCUAGAAGUUUUUAGACUAGACAAAAGGCGCUAGCAGCAAAACAAAGCCGCAGAUUCUGCAUUGUAGGACAGGCGCGUCAGUUACUUUCCAGGGCAACGAGCAUUCUUCGCUGCCUCUUGGGCUUCCCUGCAACCAAAAUAUUUUGAACAUGAGCAUUGUCAGGAGUCUGUGUACAACUCCUUGCCCUGAAGGCCAAUCAUAAUAACAUGCAGAUCAACACUAGGUGCUCUUUCCACGAUAAGUAAAUCACUCCGACUCAGGAAAAGAGCUCAACAGACAUGAAUGACUGAAUCCAUGUAAAAUGAUGUAAUAUUCCUCUAGAGAUGGAGAGACCAUCUUCCAUGCACACAACUGUCUAUAAGAUAUCAUUUAUCCUUUCACUUAACUUAUGAAAACAUGGACCAGUUACCUUAAAGCAUUUGCAAGAUCACCACUUGUAGGGUCAAGCUUCAAGCCAUCAGCAAAAGCCUCACAUGCUCCCUCGUACUUCUACAUACGCAUCAUAAGAUGAUCAGUUAUACGAUCAUGAUCAGGGAUGCUUGAAGAAAACUACUGUGUUAUUUUUACCUUCAAUAACAUAAGAGCUGCCCCUUCUCGGUAGCAGGCUUUUGGCCAAAGAGGUCGCGCCAUUCUGCACAUGGCAGCAUCAGAGAGAGCAGCUCUUCCGUUUCCAGCACGCAACGCGCACAGACUCAUAUUUGCCAAUAUGGUUGCAUAAUCAUCUGGACUAGGGUCAAAUGACAUUGCCUACAACACAUCAACCACAUGCAGCUUUUAGCAAUAUCUAAAAAACUGAGUACUCCAAGAUAAUAAUCAUAUCUUUUACGAUGACGCUCAGAUAGUGUUGUUCUGAUUGAUAUAGAGAUCCCUGUACACAUGAAACCAGCAAAUAUAUUGGAUAAAUUUCAUAAUAGGCACUUUUGUAUAACAGUAAUGUGUUACCACAGCCCUUUGAACACUGUUAAACAUGAUAUGUCACGUAGUUGAGAGGCGCCCUACUUAGGUGCACCGGUUUACCUAAACUGUAUUGGCUAGAUAGAAUUAGUUAGUCAAGAUCUCAUGUACUCCCUCCUUCCAUCUAUAUAGGGCCUAAUGCGUUUUUUAAGACAAUGUUUGACUAUUGAUAAGAUUAAUAAUACAUAAGAUGUAUAAUGUGAAAAUUAUAUCAUUGGAAUCUCCUUUCACAUACGAAUUUGACAAUAUGCUUUGUGUAACUUGCAUGUCAUAUAUUAUUGCUCUAACAUUUAGUCAAAGUUGGCCUCGAAAAACGCAUUAGGCCCUAUAUAGAUGGAAGGAGGGAGUAACAAUAUUCAUCUCUAUAUCUUGGUUCUUUCUUGAUUCUCAAGAUGUAAUCUCAACUAUAAGUAUGCUUAUCUCAGGGAGAUGCCUUUGCCUAUAUAACACGCAACCGUCGCCUCCAACGGGGUACAACGCUCACCGCUUGCUUACAUGGUAAUAAAAGCCUCCUCUAUACACUAAAUCUAGCCAAACCCAUCCCCAGCCAUGUCGUCCUCCUUUGGCAUCGUCCAGGCCGCCCUCACGCAGAGAGCUCUCUCGCACCAACUACGUGUUGUGGCACGCAUAGGUGACGCCGCAGCUGAGGGGAGCUAGUUGCUUCGGCUAUGUUGAUGGCAUCACACCGGAGCCCGUCAAGUUCCUCACUACGAAGGACAAAGACGGAAAAGAUGCAAAAACGCUCAAUCUUCUCUACUCAAUUUAGGUCAGAGAAGGACAGCAGGUACUCGGAUACUUGUUGAAUAACCUCUCCAACGAAGUCCUUGUGCAGGUCACUUCCAUUGCCAUGCCGCACGAGAUUUGGGCUGCUCUUGCGACCAUGUUCUCGUCGCAGUCCAAGGCCCCAUCAACAACAUCCGGAUCGUGCUCUCCACGGAGCAGAAGGGGACGCAAAUCGUGGUGGCAUACUUUGCUCACAUUCGAUCUCUCACAGAUGAGCUUGCAGCUGCUAGGAAGCCGAUUGACGACGACGAGCUGAUCUCCUACAUCAUCGCCAACCUCGACAUGGAGUACCAGCCCCUCGUCUCGGCCAAUGAAGUCCUCACUGAGAGCAUCAGCCUCAGACGACGUCUUUGCUCAGAUGAGCAACUUUAACCAGCGCAUCGCCCUCUUCCAUGGUGCGGGUUCUGGUGGGGGAUUCAAAUUCUCUGCCGACGUCGCUUUCCGUGGCCGUGGCAGCGGUGGCUCAUCUCGCUACCGCGGGCCGCCAUGCAGCAAGCGCAAGCCAUAAAGCAAAGGCGGACGACCCUCCUACAACAACAAGAGCCGCCGCAAAUCCUCCGGCAAGACCCGUCCGGAUGUCACGCGCUGUCAGAUCUGUGGCAAGCCAGGCCACACGGUACACGACUGCUGGUAUCGUUUCGAGGAAGAUGAUGGAUCUUCCCAAGAUGAGAACGUGGUAGUGGCGGCAAAUGGCUCCUACGGCGUCGAUACCAAUUGGUAUGUCGACAGUGGCACCACAAAUCAUACCAUGGGAGAGCUAGAAAAGGUGACCAUGCAUGAAAAGUACCGCGGCCAGGAGCAAGUUCACACUGCCAAUGGAGAAGGUAUGAGUAUUAGUCACGUUGGUCAUUCAGUAAUAAAAAACCUUCAUAGAAAAAUUCAUCUCAAUUUUUUUUGCAUAGUACUAGUGCUUUGAAAAAACUCCUUUUCUUUCAUCGUAUUGCCAUUGAUAAUCAUGUCUUCCUCAGAUUUCACCCGGUCUUCUUUUUGAUCAAGGAUCAGGCCUCGAGGAAAAUCCUAUAUUGAGGUAGAUGUGUUCGAUGGCUUUACCCGUUGAUUCCGGAGGUUAGGAGAUUCAAUAAAUAAGCCUAUGGUGUCACCAAAGUCUCUCCAACAUGGUUGCAUGAUAGAUUAGGACAUGCAUCUUUUUCUUUAAUCAAGCAAGUACUUAGAAGGAAUAAGCUCUAGCGUAGUUGUGCAAAAAUUUGUGAUUCUUGUCAACGUGCUAAAAGUCAUCAAUUACCUUAUCCGGUUUCUACGAGUGUUUCUACCAAACCAGUUGAGCUCAUUUUCUCGGAUGUUUGGGGUCCUUCUCCUACUUUUGUCAGUAGACAUUCCUGUUAUGUGAGUUUUAUCGAUGACUACAACAAAUAUACUUGGAUCAACCUUCUUAAAAAAAGAUUCAAUGUAUUUCAAGUUCUUCACAACUUUCAAGCACUCGUCGAAAGAAAAUUUGAUUGUGAAAUUCUAGGCCUACAAUCGGAUUGGUCAGGAGAAUACAGAAACCUCAGUUCCUUCUUCCAACAAAUUGGCAUGCCACAUCAUGUGUCAUGUCCCCAUGCUCUUCCAUAGAAUGGAUCUGCUGAACGUAAGCAUAGACACAUCGUUGAAGUAGGGUUAUCAUUGCUUGUUGUCGCAUCCAUGCCCUUGAAAUUUUGGGACGAAGCCUUUCUUAUCGUAGUUUAUCAUAUCAAUAUGUUGCCUAGUCGUGUCAUCACAAUGAAACCCCGAUAGAACGUCUUCUCCAUACAAAACCUAACUACACAUCUCUACGAGUGUUUGAGUGUGCUUGUUGGCCAAAUCUUCGUCCUUAUAACAAUCGCAAGCUCAUGUUUAGAUCAAAACAAUGUGUUUUUCUCAGUUAUAUUCCACACCACAAAGGUGUCAAAUGCCUUGAUGUAUCCACUGGACGUGUCUACAUUUCUUGUGAUGUUCCGUUCGAAGAAACUGUUUCCCCUUUGCACAUCUUCAUCCCAAUGCCAGCGCCCUCUUCCAAAUAGAAAUACUUUUGCCAUCUCACCUCAACGUUAUUGAUCAAGGGGAACAUUAUAAUACUGGUGAUCAAAUGUUGACUAAUCCUCUUACUAAUGAUGAACAUGAGUCUUGUGAUGAAGCAGAAAAAACGGUACAGAAAAUGAUGAAGAAAUUGACCCAAAUCGGUAUUCUAUGCCUACUAGACAAGGCAACAACGACGUCAGAGCGGAUCAGCCUCGGGAACAAGGUGAAUCGGCCUCAGGAUCCUCACACUGCAGAUCUGCACCGCGCCAGCGAGUGGGAUCAACCCCAGGAUCCACGCCGCACUUACUAGAGCGACCCGCUCCAGAAUCCGCGCCAUGUCAUGACGCCAGCAGUGGAUCGGCCGACCAUGUUGCUCCGAGCCAAUCAUCCGAGGCCGCGUGGCCGCAAGCAGACCAGUCGGCGCACGUACAGUUCAGGGACGAACCACAUUGCCACACGAGGUGUGUGCAGUGCUAGGACCCUGACUCGGAGUCUCGCAUUGAUUCCACCCGGGACACUUCAUCAUCGGCUCAUGAUGAGACUGCCGUAGGUGCAGGAUCUUCUGCGCCACCUGGCUUCUCUGAGCCGCGCGCUAUAGCCACAGAACACCCGCCAUGGUUGUCGUGCCCAUCCUCCUUGGGAUUAGGUGUUGCCCUGCUGCGGGAUCUUUCGUGCCGUCUGCUAAACCUUCUGUGUUGGCUCCUUCGCCACCACGGACAAGGCUUCAAAGGGAGUAACUCGACCCAAAAAUUACAAACACACAGCAAAAGUUGGUCCUACUUGUAGUACAAAUGAACCAAAUAUUGUUGCAAAAGCCCUGAGCGACCCAUGGUGGAAGAAGGCUAUGGAAGAGUAGUACAUGACACUCCACAAAAAUAAAACUUGGCUUUUUAGUUCCUUCCGUCAAGGUAAAAAUGUGAUUGACUGCAAAUGGGUCUUCAGAAUUAAAAAGAAGUUUGAUGGGACCAUAGAUCGCUAUAAAGCUAGACUAGUUGCAAAAGGCUUUAAGCAAAGGUACCUCAUAGAUUAUGAGGACACUUUCAGUCCUGUUGUAAAGGCUGCCACUAUUCGUCUUGUUUUGUCUAUUACCGUGUUCAGGGGAUGGAGCUUGAGACAGCUAGAUGUACAGAAUGCGUUUCUUCAUGACAUUCUGAAAGAUGAAGUGUUCAUGAGACAACCUCCUGGGUUUGAGGAGAGAAAUGCACCCCAUCAUGUGUGCAAGCUUGAUAAGGCCUUGUAUGGACUGAAGCAAGCUCCUAGGGCAUGGUACUCCCGUUUAAGUUCAAAAAUUCAAGCACUUGGGUUUGCUCCUUCCAAGUUAGACACCUCAUUGUUUAUUUAUGAUAAGUAAAAUACUUCCACAUUUGUGCUUAUAUAUGUUUAUGACAUCAUUGCUACAAGUUCAUCAAAUGAGGCUGUUACAAGAUUGUUAAAAGAUUUAAACUCCGAGUUUGCUCUCCAGGAUCUAAGAGACUUGCAUUUUUUUGGCAUUGAAAUGCAGAGAAAUGGAGAUGAUCUUCAUCUAUCUCAAGAAAAUAUGCAACUGAUCUUGUAGCUAGAGCUGGGUUGCAGGGUUGUACGCCAUCAUCAACACCACUGUCUAGCACAAAAAAAUUAUCCUUUUCACAAGGAGAACUCUUGAAUCAAGAGGAUAGUACUAGGUACAGAAGUAUGGUUGGUGCUUUACAGUACCUAACUCUGACCAUGCUUGAUAUUUCCUUUGCUGUCAACAGGUAUGUCAGUUUAUUCAUGCACCUACUACAAUGCAUUUGCCAGUUGCAAAACGCAUACUUAGAUAUGUUAAAAAUACUUUGAGCAUUGGGCAACAUUCAACAACGUUCUUUGGACCAAAUUUAAUCUCCGGGUGUGCAAAGAAACAUGCCACAGUUUUGAGAUCUAGCACAGAGGCGGAAUGCAAAGCAUUGGCAAAUGCCACAACAAGAAUUAUUUGGGUUCAAUCUUUGCUGAAGGAACUUGGGAUGCGUAGUAAGCAGGUCCCAUGUCUAUGGCGUGACAAUCUAGGUGUCACAUAUCUUUCUGCUAACCUGGUUUUUCAUGCAAGGACCAAACAUAUCGAAAUAGAUUCUCACUAUGUCAGAUAAAGAGUUGCUACAAAGAACCUGGAUAUUCGUUUUAUUCAUUCCCAAGAUCAAGUUGCAUAUGGUUUCACCUAAGCCUUAUCUAUAAGGAGUUUCGAAGAAUUCAAACAUAAUCUCAACUUAACAAAGCUGUGAUUAUGGAAGGGUGUUAAACAUGAUAUGUCACGUAGUUGAGAGGCGCACUACUUAGGCGCACCGGUUUACCUAAACCGUAUUGGCUAGAUAGAGUUAGUUAGUCAAGAUCUCAUGUAACAAUAUUCAUCUCUAUCUCUCCAUUCUUUCUUGAUUCUCAAGAUGUAAUCUCAACUAUCUGUAUGCCCCUGCCUAUAUAACAUGCAACCGUCGCCUCCAACGAGGUACGACGUUCACCGCUCGCUUACAAACACAAACUGCUCAACUACAUCGUAAUUACACAUGUUUUACCAGAAAUAGAGGUAGCAGUACAUGCAACCCUAUUUUCGAUGUGAACAAAAAUAUACUAUGGACUGAGAUUAACAGUUUACAUAUAUAAAAAAUAACAAUCACGGCAGGCAAUAAAAAUGGGCCCUAGUGACUUACACAAUUAUACAUCUCCGAUGCCAUAAAAUAUUCCCCUCUCUUAAAAGCCUCCGAAGCUUUCUGUUUUAGUUCUAUUCUUCUCUUUGCGAACAUUUGUUUAUCCUGAUGACAGAAAAACUGCGGUUAGGAUAAAUAUGUAGACAUAUCCUGUAAUGUAAAACUUGAAUACAUCACCUAAUUAAUGUAUAAGACUAGAAAAACCGAAAGUGUUCUUCUGCUCCCGAGCUCAAAUGAGCUCGGGUAAACAGUAAUAUUGAGAAAAAAAAAAGAACAAACAAAAAAACUGAUUUUUUGGUGAUAACCAUUGACAAAUGUUUUCUAUGCUUGCAAAUUUUCAUCACGAAAUAACAUUCUUAGAAGUCAUGGCAAAAAAAAAAACCAGUACUCCAAAAGGCUUUGAAAAAUAGCAUUUUAGGAGCUUUGAUUUCAAAAUUUUUUUUGCCACGGCUUCCAGGAAUGUCCAUUCAUGACAAAUUUUUGCAAGCACAUCAAACAUUUGUCAAAAAUUGGCACAAAAAAACGAAAUUUUUAACUUUUUUUUUCUGAUUUUACUGUUCACCACUUCCUAGAAAAAUGUGAGCUCGGGUGCAAAUACUCCACUUCCUACAAAAAUGUGCUGUACUGCAGUGCUGCAGGGUUUAUCCGGAGCUCAAGGUGUAUCCUAAUUAAUGUAUAGGACUAUAAAUUUGUAAUAAAAACUAUUGUCCGGUGUUGCAGGGCUGGAACAAUAUCAUCCAAGUUAACUUAUUAGUCUAGCACAUUAAUAGUUCACCGUACGGUCAUACCCAAAGGCUAGAAGUUUGCUAAUAGUGAUGCAAUGCAACAAAAGUAAAAUUUGUGAAUGGAAUGUUUUGUUUGUACAAUAUAAUCUACAAUAAUCGUGAAUUAAAACUAUUUCUACUCUAAAUGAUAGGCAGAACUGCAUGCCAAAGAACAAAACUACAGGGUGAUGCAUGAUAAAUAACAUAUGGAACUGCAAGUGAGCACAGAAGGAAACACAUACCCCUGGCUUCAAACCAUAGUGUUUCCCAUGAGAAAUGAUUCCAUCAAUACUCCAGUCCGGCAGCGUUGAAAUAGGAGAAGUUAAAGGGAAUAACAUUUCAACCAUGUCCCUACUGCCUGUAGAGGCAGCAACUUCAAUUGGUGUGCUACCACACUGCAUGCAACAGUAAAUGUUAAAUUAUGAUCUAAAUUCUAGUACCGUGUUGAACUAGACGUAGUACAAACGGUGUGGGCCUUUGCGUUGAUGUCGACGCGUACGAGUACAACUUGUUUACUUGUCCUUCAAGGACUCUCAUGUAUUGCCCUCUUAUAUACCCCAUGUAGUCGCACUUCAGACGGUCUAUCGUCUCGUGCUUGUAAUACUCCUCCAUCAUAGUGAUUGCGCCUUCGUGCGUCCGUGGUUUUCUCCCGCAAGGAUUUCCACGUAAAAAUCCGUGUCUCUUUGUCUAGUUUAUUCUCGUUAUUAUCUAACAAGUGGUAUACAAAGCUGAGGUUCGAGACACAAGAUUUGAGAUCGGGAGAUUAAGGUUCUGUCGUGCGCGCCGCCGCACGCGUCUUCAGGCGAUCCGCUGAUUCGAAGCCGCAUCGAUUUCUACUGCUGCCGCACGUCGCCGAAACCGACGAGAGACAGGAGUUCCAUCACGGCCACGUAUUCCCCUCUCCGUACAGGCUUCAAGUUCCGAGGCAGCCGCCAGUACUUUUCACCGCGAAGCCAAAUAGUGGAGCAGCGAUCCGCCGAGUUGCCGCUGGUUCUAAUCAAAGCAACCGGCUUCAAGUCCCGAGGAGAUUACGCGUUGCUGAUCGAAGCCAAUUUUAUCUACAGAGUACUAGUUGGGUCCUGUUCACGUGAGGACAAGAGUCUGCUAGUUCUGGCUCUUGUGUUUUCAACUCCAGUCGCUACAUCCACCCCAGAAAGCUACCAGGUGCUAUUUAUUCAGUAUUUUUUAUUUUGCUCCGCAAACUAAUUCUGUCAAGAAUUUUCCUAUCGGCUUGUACUACUUUGUGUACACAGAUUUAAUCGACUCAUGGCAUCCAUGAAGUACGAUCUUCCGCUGCUGGACCGUGACACAAGGUUUACUCUAUGGCAAGUCAAGAUGCGGGCGUUGUUGGCACAGUCCGACUAUGAUGAAGCACUGGAUAGUUUUGGAAAGAACCGAAUUCAAGAUUGGAAUGAUGAGGAGAAAAGAAUUGAUUGUAAGGCUUUGUCACAAAUUCAACUCCAUUUGCAUAAUAAUAUUUUGCAGAAAGUUUUGAGCAAGAAAACUGCCGCCGCUCUAUGGUUAAAGCUGGAAGGGAUUUGCAUAACUAAAGAUCUCACCAGCAAGAUGCAUCUGAAGCAAAAAUUAUUCCUGCACAGGUUACCCGAGGGAGGUAAUGUUUUGAAUCAUAUUUCAGAAUUUAAAGAGAUCAUAUCUGAUCUAGCUGCAAUGGAGGUUAAGUAUGAAGAGGAAGAUACUGCUUUAAUGUUACUUUGUUCACUGCCGAGUUCUUAUACCAAUUUUCGAGACACCAUAUUAUACAGUCGUGAUACUCUCACGCUUAAUGAAGUUUAUGAAGCUUUGAACUCCAAGGAGAAGAUGAAAUUAAUGGUGCCUCAUGAUGGUUCAAGUUCAUCCCAAGCCGAGGGAUUAUCUGUUCGUGGCAGGACAAAGGAGAAGAACUCCAAUAAUGAAAACAGAGGCAAAAGUAAGAACGGCUACAAAGGCCGGUCGCAAUCCAGAGACAAGAAGUAUUGCAGAUAUUGCAGGAGAGACGGGCAUGACAUCUCUGAGUGUUUCAAGUUGCAGAACAAGGAAAAGAGGAAAGGUAACAAACAAGGUGACAAUUCUGCUAACGUUGCUCGUGAUGAUAGUUCCGAUGAUGCUCUUGUCGUUAUUGCUGGAUGUGCUGAGACCAAUGAUGAGUGGGUACUUGAUACUGCAUGCACUUUUCAUAUGUGUCCACAUAGAGAUUGGUUUACUACUUUUGAUUCCACUACUUUUCACAGUUGAGAGUUUUUGGUUGCACUGCUUAUGCUCAUGUUGAUAAUGGAAAGUUGGAGCCUAGGGCUGUUAAGUGCAUCUUUCUUGGUUAUAAGUCUGGUGUUAAAGGUUUUAAAUUGUGGAAUCCUGAAACCCAGAAGGUGGUUAUUAGCAGAAAUGUUAUCUUUAAUGAAUCUGCUAUGUUACAUGAUGUUUCAUCUACUAAUGUUCCCGUUGAGAGUGAACAGCAACCUAUUGUUCAGGAGUCUACUGUUCAGGUGGAGCAAGUUAUUGAUUCAGGUGAUACAUCUGGUAAUGAAAUUUUUUAUGCACAUGAUGAACCCGUCGUUGAUGAUGAACAUGUCACUCCCACUCCAAAUCAGCCUAUUGUUCCACCCAGUUGGAAUCUUGCACGUGACAGAGUUAGACGGGGUAUUAAUAAACCUGACAGGUUAAUUGAAGAGUGCAAUAUUGUUUCUUUUGCUUUAUCUGUUGCAGAGGAAAUUGAAGGUAAUUCUGAGCCUUCUUCAUAUUCCGAGGCUAUUAUUUCUGGUGAUAGUAAUAAGUGGAUGACUGCUAUGCAUGAUGAGAUGGAAUCACUUGAAAAGAAUGGCACUUGGGAUUUAGUAAAAUUGCCUAGAGAGAAGAAACCUAUUCGUUGCAAGUGGGUUUUCAAAAGGAAAGAAGGUGUUUCUCCUAAUGAUGAGACAAGAUAUAAAGCAAGGUUAGUUGCUAAAGGUUAUAGCCAGAUUCCAGAUAUUGACUAUAACGAAGUCUUUUCUCCUGUUGUGAAGCAUAGCUCUAUUCGCACUUUACUCAGUAUUGUUGCCAUGCAUGAUCUUGAUCUUGAACAAUUGGAUGUUAAAACUGCAUUCUUACAUGGAGAAUUAGAAAAGGAUAUUUAUAUGGAACAACCUGAAGGUUUUGUUAUUCCUGGAACAAAAAAGCUUGUCUGCAAGUUAAAGAAAUCUCUUUAUGGAUUGAAGCAAUCCCCUAGACAGUGGUACAAGAGAUUUGACACCUUUAUGCUCUCUCAAGGUUUCAAAAGGUCUAAUUAUGAUAGUUGUGUUUAUUUGAAAACUGUCAAUGGUUCAACUAUUUAUUUGCUCCUUUAUGUUGAUGAUAUGCUUAUUGCUGCAAAGAGUAUGUCAGAUAUUGAUGAACUAAAGAAGCAAUUGAGUAAUGAAUUUGAGAUGAAGGAUUUGGGUGCAGCAAAGAAAAUACUUGGCAUGGAAAUAUCCAGAGAUAGACCGUCUGGAAAAGUAUAUCUAAGUCAGAAGGGAUAUAUUGAUAAAGUUCUUCGUUGUUUUAAUAUGCAUAAUGCCAAGCCGGUGAGUACACCGUUAGCUGCACACUUCAAAUUGUCAUCAGCUUUAUGUCCUAAGUCAGAUUCAGAUAUUGAGUACAUGUCUAGAGUUCCCUAUUCAAGUGCAGUUGGUUCACUUAUGUACGCCAUGGUUUGUUCUCGUCCUGACUUAUCAUAUGCAUUGAGUGUUGUCAGUAGAUACAUGGCUAAUCCUGGAAAAGAGCAUUGGAAAGCAGUUCAGUGGAUUUUCAGAUACCUGCGUGGUACUUCUAAUGCUUAUUUACAGUUUGGGAAAACUAGAGAUGGACUUGUUGGUUUUGUUGAUUCUGAUUUUGCUGGUGAUUUGGAUAAGAGAAGAUCACUCACAGGUUAUGUUUUCACCAUUGGUGGUUGUGCUGUGAGUUGGAGAGCAACUUUGCAGUCUAUUGUGGCUUGUUCCACUACUGAUGCCGAGUAUAUGGCUAUUUCUGAGGCAUGCAAAGAAGCUAUCUGGUUGAGAGGUUUGUACAUUGAGCUUUGUGCAGAUUCAUCUUGCCCUACCAUAUUUUCUGACAGUCAAAGUGCUAUAUAUCUUACAAAGAAUCCAAUGUAUCAUGAGAGGACAAAGCACAUUGAUGUUAGAUUUCACUAUAUUCGAGAUGUUGUUGCUGAAGGUGAUUUGAAGGUAUGCAAGAUAAGUACUCAUGAUAAUCCUGCUGAUAUGAUGACAAAGCCAGUUCCUACCAAUAAGUUUGAGCUUUGCUCAGGCUUAGUUGGUAUUUCUCACUAGUCCGAUGGACUUUGACGCACAAGGUGUUUAUGCUCAUUUGAUUGGAGUUAUUCACUUUCUUCGACUACUGGAGGGAAUUUGGAUCAAGGUGGAGAUUGUUAAAUUAUGAUCUAAAUUCUAGUACCGUGUUGGACUAGACGUAGUACAAACGAUGUGGGCCUUUGCGUUGACGUCGACGCGUACGAGUACAACUCGUUUACUUGUCCUUCAAGGACUCUCAUGUAUUGCCCUCUUAUAUACCCCAUGUAGUGAGAUCGCGGAAGGGGCUCGAAAACAAACAAGAGCCCUCUCUCUCGUCCGCGACCGCGCCACCCCCGCGGGCGGCCGGCCGCGCCUUCNNNNNNNNNNNNNNNNNNNNNNNNNNNNNNNNNNNNNNNNNNNNNNNNNNNNNNNNNNNNNNNNNNNNNNNNNNNNNNNNNNNNNNNNNNNNNNNNNNNNNNNNNNNNNNNNNNNNNNNNNNNNNNNNNNNNNNNNNNNNNNNNNNNNNNNNNNNNNNNNNNNNNNNNNNNNNNNNNNNNNNNNNNNNNNNNNNNNNNNNNNNNNNNNNNNNNNNNNNNNNNNNNNNNNNNNNNNNNNNNNNNNNNNNNNNNNNNNNNNNNNNNNNNNNNNNNNNNNNNNNNNNNNNNNNNNNNNNNNNNNNNNNNNNNNNNNNNNNNNNNNNNNNNNNNNNNNNNGGCGGCGCGGGCUGGCGGCGCCCGCCCGACCCAGAUCUGGGCCCUUCGGGCUCCAUCUGGGUCGGGGCGGGCCGACGACAGGCGUGGCGGCUGCGUGGCCUCCAGGAGGCGGUGGUGAGCAGCGAUGAUCGGCAGGGGCUGGCGGCGUCGACGCCAGCUUGCUGCAGCGUGGCCGGCGGGGCUUAGCGGGCCCGUUUCGGGCCUGGCCGGGCCGGGGUGGCCUGGUAUGCCCCGCUGCCGUGUCCGGACGGCUACCGCGACGGUGCCGGAGGCGCGGGCCUCCCGCACGAUGGCGGUGGAGGUGGUUCCCUCCCGCUCGGCCUUGAUGCUGCUGCUCCCGUCGCUCAGAUCUUCUCUCCGCUCUUCUUGGCCUCGUGGUGGUGUUCGCAGCGAGACGGUGUUGGUGACGGCGCAACCGUCGUGGCGCAUAGUUGGGCGGUGGUUUGGCUGGUCGGCUCCGAUUGGCUGGUGGGGUUUGGCGCGCGGGAGAAAUCCUCGCCGGUUCGUCCGGCUCCGAUGCGGUGACACCAGCGGGUGCCACUAUCCCUUCUUGGAGGGCGUCGGGAGUAGCUAUCCCCCACCUCCCUCGCGUACUGGGGGAAACCCAAGGACUUGUUCGGGCAGCAGCGUCGUCGGCGUCGCAUCCCUUCUUGGAGGUGCUGCUUAGUUCGCGGAAGUUCGAAGCCUUGGGCUGUAGUGGUUUGUUUCCGAAGGGCGCAACGGUCGCGGGUCAUCCGCGCUUUGUCGAGCUGCCGUUGUUGGCAUUUUUCUUCUUCCUUUUCUUUGGGCUUGUUGUGCUGCUCGCCCCAGCAUUGCGAUGUGUACUUUGGUGGUUUGCUUUGGAAUACAAAGCGGGGGGAAACCCUUUUUCGGUAUACCCCAUGUAGUCGCACUUCAGACGGUCUGUCGUCUCGUGCUUGUAAUACUCCUCCAUCAUAGUGAUUGCGCCUUCGUGCGUCCGUAGUUUUCUCCCGCAAGGGUUUCCAUGUAAAAAUCCGUGUCUCUUUGUCUCGUUUAUUCUCGUUAUUAUCUAACAGUAAAUACAAAAUGUAAUUGGGAGAUUUCCACAUUAAUAGUUAGGAAUCACAGCCUAACAUUUCACCCAAAUGGUUGGAUGGACUUCAAGAGAAUCACUAUGCAAGGACAAAUGGUGGAACAGCCUACCUGUCCUAGUACUAUAUGACACGCCUAGGUUUCCAAGCCAAAAUAACACAUUACAUGCAACCUACUAGCUAGUACUACGCAUCCAACACGUUUAGAUUACUCUAACAUUGUACACCCUACUUCGGAGUAUAAUCUAUCAUGCUGAUCUGCGAGUGAUAUUAUUCAGAUGGAUUUUUGGAGAUUCACUUUUACAUGGAGGUGAAUCAACGAUAUCAAAGCAUGACUAAGUGAGAUGGAUUGAAGAGAUUGAGGAAUAUUGCUAUAAGUUUGGUAUCUCCAAUUAAUUGAUAGCCUACGGUAUAAUAACCGCCAACUUUGCUCUAUCAUAAGUUCUCUAUUUUUACAUCCUUUUGCUUAUGUAUUUAGUACCUAUAAUACUACUUAAACCAAGUUGCAAGAAGGUACCCUCACAGAAUAAGAAGUGAAAUAAGCUUACUGAAUUCCCCUGACCAUGUGUCAUCAGGAAUUGACGAAUGUCAGAUGUAUAAGUACAACCUAACCAUUCCAUUUUAUAAUCCCACAUAGGUAUAACUCAUGCAUUUUUCUUGUUCGCAACACAAAAAUGGAUUUCAGUUAUGCAUAGAAGCAGCAUCUUCUCUUCUACUUGCUGCACUGCAUACUGCAUAUACAGUCAUCACAAACGUCUUAAUCCUUGAUCUUAAUAACCAAUACAAUGUGGGUUAUGUGUCACAAAAAUUAUACCAUUAAAUUUGUAUGUAAAGAAUUUUUCAAUGGUAUAAAUUUUAAGUUACAUGACUUGUGUAUUAUUUCGCUGACUGUUAAAUCUCAAAAAGCAUGUGUGCCGUAUUUUGUAGUCGGAGGAAGUAGUGUUUUCUCCUCAUGCAAGCCUAUUCCUGGCGUCAGAUGAAGUGUCGGUAAGAAGAUUAUCCUAAUCUUUCAAGUGUCAAGAGUCUAAAGCCUAACAUGACCUCAUAGAGAAGAAAUGGAACAAUGUUCAGCUAACAUCAUAUGCAUGAAAAGUAGAUGAUGACAAGUGACAACAACAAAAUAGGAAAACAAGUAAAGCUCACUUCAUCAGGAAUAUUGGGGUUAGCACCAGCAUCUAGCAAGAACUUCAUGAUACCAGGUAAGCCAAACUUCACUGCCAACGUCACGUAACUACCACCACCGAAGUCAAUAAAAUUCAGAUCAGCACCAGCCUGUGCAAAUGAAUAAUUAGUUGAUCAUUUGCUUCAGCUAAUGCUUGAUAUGCCAGCCACAGAAAACAUAUACACAAGGAAAAUGAAGCUGUGCGUACAGAACUUUAACAAAGUUCCAUAUGAAGAAAGAGUACUGACCUUAACAAGCAGCUUGACACAUUCCAACGACUCUCUUGGCAUGGGCCUGAUGGCCCGGAGGGCCCAACUCAAUGGGGUGUAACCAAGACCACAAACCUUGUUAGGCUGUGAAAAGUGGAAGAAUCAAUCACUUACACAGUUACACUUGUCGGAAAAAAAAGAGUGCUCAAUAAAGAAAUUGAUUUCAAGAUAUGUCAAUAGAGAAAUAAAAACAACUCAUGGUGUGUUAAAUACGCCCUACGUCCCAAAAUAACUGUUCGUAGAUUUAGUACAAACUUGUCUAAUUUUGUAGUAAAUUGUGCGCCACUUAUUUUGGAACGAAGGGAGUAUAUUGGUAUUUUUGAAGGCAACAGAAAGAAAUAUAUUUACAUAGAAAUUAGACAUAGCAUGUACUUGGCUUCUGGGAAAGUGAGCACAUUUUACUAUAGGAUAAUUAAGUACUGUCCAUGAUGAAUUUUUGUUGCUUCAAAUACAGUGAAAAUCUUUUGUUCAGAUGGAUCACAAGUAUCAAAUGCAAUAAGUUUUUCCAUUCCAGUGCAUUCCUACAUAGAAUAUACAGAUGGAGCACGAGUACCCCUGCCCACAUGAGAGAACCAAGAAACUGGUGUCUUACAUUGGCAUGGUGCUCCAACAAAAUCUUCAUUGCGUCAUGUCGUGUAGAAAUUGCAGCUGCAUGCAAUGGUGUCCCUUGUGCAUAAUCUAAAUUCACAUCGAUUCCUCUUGAAAGCAGAAGUUCUACUAUUUCACAAUGUCCUGGAAAACAAAGUUUCAAAAGAAAAGAAUGAGACAUGAAUAUUUUCUAACAUGUAACUGACUUUACACAUCUGCACUAAGAUUUAACUCUGGGCCAGUUUUCAGUUUUGUGAUCAUGAACUGCCCAGUAACCUUUUUGGUUACCACGUAUCUCAUCCAGGACAAGGUUUACAAAAGUGGUUGGAUUGGGACUAUUCAAAUUUUAUUUGUUUAUCCUUAGAAAUAGAAGAAAGUCGUCAUCAACACUUUGGAUAAGAUUGGAUAUCCAACUUCAAAAUUCCAAGCCUCAAAGUUCUCCCCACACUCGAUAAUCUUUCUGUGGCCAUCAUCCAAAUCAUAUAUAUGGGAGUCUUGUUCGAUGGAAAUCACAUAAAAGCAUAUGGCAAGAUAUGCUAAAAUAGAAACAUCAAGCAUCACACUAGCCAAGAGAGGUGUCAUACUAGUCAACUGUCAUGAUCCCAAGACUGAAGGUUAUAGCCCCAUGCGCUGUGACGUGUGUCUCUUGCUUACUAUAUUCCUUAGCCAAAUCUAUUCAAACAGAGAAAGGCUACCAAACAAAUGUUAACAAAACUAAGACUAAUCUUAUCAAAAGAAAACUAAUAAGUAAUUUGAAGGAAUGGAUCGAAUUUGGAUCAGUCGACCCAGAAAUGCUUACUUCUCUCUCGAUGAUAUGGGGCACUGAUUUCAUCUAACAGUGAAAAUUUCAGAAUUUAUUAUAACCGGAUAAAAGAAAAGAAGAAUCCCGAGACUAAUCUUGGACUGACUAAGAAUUAGGAAAACUACUAGGAGAAAGGUUUAUCCAGUUAUCUCCAAGGCUGAUUCGGUGCCUUUUGCACCUCCUACGACUAGUUAGGAUCGCUAUACCUGCUAACUCGCAGCUGCGGGGCCAUGUUGGUAGCCUUAUUCCCAUAGAGAAGCAUUUUUUUCAAUGAACUUCGUUGGAAGUUUGGAACUCUAACUACAUUUCCAAAUCUUACAAAGCAACUGCAAGUUUGAAACAUUAGGCGAUAAAUUUCAGGAUGAGAGGAUCAUGUACUUUUGCAGCUUGCCAUUUAGAGGUGAGAAUAUGUUGCAUUGUUUUGGGAGAUAUUUUCUGACAUAUUGAACAAUAGGAUUUUUUUUCGUGAAUACACUAGGCACGUAUCUUUGCGUUGACAGCCUCGACGAUCAUGUGAGUGGAGGGCGUCUCGCUGUCAAAGAUGUAGGCGUUCCGAUGCUUCCAGAUGUGCCAGACCGAGAUGGUGAUGAGGAAGCCUAGUCAACGCCGGAAGCUCGGGAUGCAGGUCGCGGCUGCCGUGGUCCGCCAAUCUUAGAAGCUAGUGGAGCCGUCAGGCGGCAGCAGAGGUAGUCGUGCCCAAGAGAGGAUCUCAUGCCAGGAAAUCCGCGAGAUCACGCAGCCAACAAGAAGGUGAUGUAAGGUUUCGUCCUCCCGAGAACAGAGGAUGCAAGUGGGCUCGUGGUCAAGGUCGUGCCGUGCCAGCCGGUCGGCUGUCCAGCAGCGGUUUUGGGAGGCCAGCUAGAGGAAGAAUUUGACGUUUAGCGGGGCCCAGUGUUUCCAGAUGAGGCGCCAGAAGGAGGCUUCCGUGGAGCUGUGAAACAGGGCGAGGUAGGCAGACUUGGCAGUGCAAGUGCUAGAGGCGGUCCAUCACCACGCGAUCGUGUCGGGGGUGGGGGGGGUGAGGAGUAUCCCUUGAAUCCGGCACCAAAGCUCCACGUACUCGACAAUGGCCUGGGGACCCAUAGCACCGUGGAUGUCGCCGAUCUAGAUGCGCUGGUGGAGGCCCUCGCAUACGAGCCGACGGCGUCUGCAUCGCCGUGGGACAAGUGCAACAAGGGAGGGCACGAGGUCGACGACAGAAAAGCCGUCCAGCCAGUGGUCCUCCCAGAAAAGGCAGGUCUUACUGUCGCCAAGAACCUAGGUAGUAGAGGCCCGGAAGAAGGCCUUGACUCAUAGGGAAGGUGAAGAUGGCGCCACAGUCACGAGGCGUCGACGGCCUGAAGACAAAGCCAUCACGUGCUAAGGGCGAUGCCGGAUCGGUGGAGGUCGUGAACACAGAGCCCGCCCAGCCUGAUCGGCGAGCACACCUUGGGCCAAGACAUGAGGCAACAGCCGACCUUGGUGUCGCGGCGCCCCUGCCAAAGGAACUCGCGGAUGAUUCUGAUGGCCUGCUUGAGGAUCGAGGGAGAGAUGGCCAUGGCCAUGAGAAUGUGCAUCGGGAUAGCAGACAUGACGUGCCGAACCAGGGCAAGGCGCUCGCCACGCAAAAGUAGGGUGGCUUUCCAGGUGGCCAGCCGCACCCGGAGGCGAUCUAGGAGGGGAAGCAGGGCUAAGGUGCGCACCCUACGCACGGGAAGCGGCAGUCCCAGGUAUUUGAUUGGGAAAUCAGCCAUGAGGCAGGCGAGGGCAGCCUGAAUGUCAACAGGUGCAGACAGGGGGCUCUGGAUGUCCGUGGCGGUGCACUUGGCAAAACUCGUGCACAUGCCCGAGCGCUACCAAAGAUGUCUGAGCUGGCGCCAUGGUUUUGGGUACCGCCCGAGAAAAAGGGAUACCGGGCGGUUACCGCAUUUCUCGCCGCCCCAGGAGAAAUACCUAUCCCGAGCAAAAGAUACCGAAAUUUUUGAAUAAUUUGAAUUUGAACGCUACAGAUCUAAUAAAGGAGCUUUGGUUCUCAUUUGAGACAACGCCUUUACUCUGGCGUAGUGGUAACCAUCUGUUAUGCACCUCGAGAGGUAGCUGGUUCGAGUCCUCCUCCCGCACUUUCAGAAUAGGCAGUAAAAAAAUGACGAGGUAGCUGGUUCGAGUCCUCCUCCCGCACUUUCAGAAUAGGCAGUAAAAAAAUGACAGUCCAGAGAAUCGAACUCGCGACGUCAACACAGCUAAUGGCGCGCGUAGUUCAGGUACCACUGAGCUACUACCUCUUUUCUGACUUGCAUCAGUUCAAGAAUUUAUUAUAUCUAAGUAAAAAUUGUUUGAAUUCAAAAUUCAAUUGUAAAUUUCGUCCGAAUUUUUUUCGGUAUUUCUCGGUAACCGUGGUUACCGGGAAUAUCGCCCACCCACGAGAAAAUUUGCCUAUUUGGGAUCCAAAACCUUGGCUGGCGCACACCAUGGAGAGCUCGAUGGGAUCGUGGUGGCAAAAGAUCACCACAUCGUCUGCGAAGAGCGAGAUGCUGGACGCGGCGUGCGUGGUAGUGAGCCGGCGAAAGGCCCCGACGCAAACGCCCGUACUGGAGCAGAGAGUUCAGGGAAUCAAUAGCGAUGGCAAACAUCAUAGGGGAGAUCGGGACGCCCUGCCAGAAACCAUAGGCGUGAUCGAUCGGCAGCCCGGGGGUGCUGUUGAUCAUAACGCGGGUGGACGCUGAGAGGAGGACGAGAUCCAACCGCACCAGCACUGGCCAAAUCCAAGAUGGUGCAGGGUCUCAAGCAAGAAUGGCCAGAAGACUGAGUCGAAGGCGCGAGCAAUGUUGAGCUUAAGCAGCACUCUAGGGAGCUUUAGGUUUUGAAGAAGCUUCGCCAUUUGCUGGACUAAGAUGAAAUUAUCAUGUACGCUCCGACCAGCGAUGAGAGUGCCCUGGUUGGAGGAGACGUUCUCGGCCAUUUGCGGGGCGAGCUGAAGGUAGAGGACCUUGGCAAAAAGUUUGGCCAGCAGGUGGAUCAAACUAAUAGGCCGGUAGUCGAACAAGGUGGUGGCAUCUUGCUUCUUGGGGAUCAGGGUAGGGAGAGCUUCAUUGAGCUUAUGGAAUCCAUGGCCAUUGUUGAGGUAGAGCUUGUCAAAGACUACACAUGUCUUCCUUGAUGGUGCCCCAGCAGGCGGGAAGGAAUUCGGCAGAGAAGCCAUCGGGGAUGGGUGCCUUACCCGUGGGGAGUUGCUUGAUGGCCACCCAAAUUUCGUCCUCGGUGAACGGCUGUUCAAGCUCCAAGAGAUCAAAGCAACGGUGAUAGAAGACCCCAAGGUUGAGGGACUUGGCGUGCGGCUCGGAUGAACCAAGAAUGGCAGUGAAGUGGUCGAACGCGGCUUGAGCCAGAUCGGUCUCGCCGGAGCCCCGUCCACUUGGAGGGCCAGAAUGCAGUUCUUGGUAGUGCAGUGCGCCGCAUGGAUCUUGAAGAGGGCCGCCGCGGUGUCGCUCUCCUGCAGCCAGCGGAAGCGAAUGCGUUGACGAGCGAUGGACCGGUCAAGAGAAGCCAGUCCAAGAUAGGUGCGCCUGAGCUCACGACGAAACCAAGACUCGACCGGGGACAGAGCGCGAGAAUCUUGGGCGGAGUCCAGACAUAGAAUAAGACCGCGGGCGAGGAGGAGCCGAGUGGCGAUGGCGUUGGUGGAGCACGUGCCCCAGCCCCGUAGGCGUCGCGCGGUGGCCUUCAAGAGCAAAGAUGGGUCGGAAGGGGUCCGGAUCAGGCUCGAUAGAAGCCCACGCGUCUGCCAGAGUCUCCUGAAAACCAUCGAGCUUGGGCCAAAAACGCUCAAAGUGGAACUGCCUCUUUGCGCCCGGCAGAGGGGAUCAGUCCAGGAGCAGUCAGCGUGAUUGGAGGUAGCAGUGGACAGGCAACGGAGCAAGCGCUAGGGGUGGUCAGUCGCCCAGGAGGGGGUACAGAGGAUACGGUCAUUGCAGAUGAGAGUGGGGUUGUCCUGCUCAUUCGACCAAGCGUAGCGACGGCCGUGGAGAUAGAUGUCGCGCAGGGUAAAGUCCGCGAUGAAUCGUCGAAAUCGAUUCAUGGUGUGCUGGUUGAGCCUAUUUUUGUCCGUUGCGGAAGUGAUCAUGUUGAAGUCCCCACCCACGAUCCACGGGCUGGCGAUGGUAGCGCGAAGGUCAUGCAGCACCGCAAGGAAUGCAAGCUUCUGAUCGUCCCCUUGCGGCCCGUAAACGCCCGUGAUCCACCAGUGUGCGCAACCAGAGAGCGCGGUGACCACAGCGGAGACAUGGUGGUCGCCAACAUGGGGAUUAGUAAGGGCAAUGGGGUUGCGGCUCCAAGCAAGAAAGAUGCCGCCCUGGGUAUCCUCCGCGGGGAGCCAGAAGAAAUCCAGGAACAAGCUACCAAGCGUUUCUAUGACAAGGUCCGACGAGAUCACAGCGAGCUUGGUUUCUUGGAGACAUACAAUGGAGGGAGUAGCGGCGGCUAUCAUGCUACGAACGGCAGUGCGCUUGGCCUUCGAGUUGAGACCGCGUACGUUCCAGAAUAUCGCUUUAAGGCUGGGAACAACAGGAGUUAUGAUCUACCGAUUAGUAGUUAUGCAGGAAUCAGCUCCAACGUUUAGAAACAACCUUGUGCAAAAGAAAGAAAGCACUGACCUGUUUCUUCUGGCUACUCUCGCCUAUAAAGCCUAGUGUAUUGCCAUAAUUGUGACCCGGCCAGGCGGUCAAUUACCAUCUUAAAUUGGUACAUCGGCCAAAGUUUGAGAAAUGUAGUGCACAAGUUGCUCAGGACAAGUAUCAAACGAGUUAGGAAUAAUAAAUCCUGAAAAAUCUAGAACGGGCCAUCCUAUGCAUCAGAUCGGGCUGUGCCACUGGGCAGAAGCAACAGCGUUUGGAUACAUGGAUAGUGAGGCCGGGAAUAUGGAGAGUUGGAGACAGAGGUAUAUAUGAGGAUGUGGGUUAUAGAUAAUCCACUCGAAUGAUUGGUUUGUGAUGGAACAAGGAUAGGUAGUAUCAAAAUUUAAGAUCAAAAUAUCCUCACUCAUUCAAGAAAGGAGAAGAUCCAGUAAGUGGGUAUCCAGGGCAUUUUGAUAAUUUUGGUUAGCCAUGCCCAUUUCCAUCAGAAGUUCAGAACUACUAGCCUCCCCCUUGGGUUGAAAACGCAGGUUCAUAUCUGAUAUCCCUACCCUUCUCCUUCUCCUUCUCCAAUUCCUUCCAUCCAAAUAUAGGAAUAGGAUUACAUUUAACCCGUGCAAGCAGUUGUGAUUCCAAGCCUUCAUAUCCCGAAAUCCAAACGAACUCUAAAGGAAUAGCAACAAAACGGUUGACAGCAUCAAAGCAGAGAAUCACGUCCCAGGAACCCCUUUAAAUUCCAGUUCUUGCUCUCCCAGAUCUAUCAAUAGUUUGUCGGAGUCUACUGCUGUUUAUAUCGAGUGAUGUGGCUUUCUAAGGCAAAAAAUCAAAUUGACUAUGUAUGCACUGACAGUGACACAUAUAUGAUAAAUAAGCAUACAGAGAGACCUUGCAUUGCAGCGCCACAGAGAGGCGAGUGUAGUUUGCCAGCUAGUGGAUCAGCACCAUGAUCAAGAAGAUAUCUUGCAGCAGCAGCUCUCCCAUAAGUGGCAGAAAGGAACAGUGGCGUGUCACCUGCAACAGCCAGAAAAAUAAACAUCAGGAGCUCAACAAAAUUCACGCCAAUCCUGCCCUCAAUACAAAACACUGUACACAAAAGAGCCAAACGUGGAAAGAGGACUUCACUAGUGAAAGGCUUUCCAUCUGACAAAUGUUUACUGCUGACAAAAUUGUACAAAGACAGACAGAGGAGACACUUCAUAUAGCGGUUUGCCUAUAUAGCAUACCCAAAGAAAUUUGAUGUUUUUUUUUCGAGGGGGAAAAUCGAUGUUUCUGGUAUGGUGCAUGGACUUUCUGAGCAUGGAUGUCUAUAUAUUGGAUAUUUCAACUCCCCUUGUCACUUAAUCACAAUUUACAAAUGCAUACAACAUAUAACAACAAAUUCGAAGCCCAAAAUGCAUACUUCACAUGGUAUAAUAGUAACUACUAAGCAGUAGCAAUCAACAUAAAUAAAUAAAUUUUAAAAAUGAUAAAGGAGCUACAAAUUGACGCGAAGGGAAGCAGGGAAGGGGGCGUCACCUAUGAAGUUGAGUUGAUUGACAUCGAGGCGGAGGUCCUCGACGAGGUACCUGCAGACCUCGAGCCGACCCGACCCGGCCGCCAGGUGCAGCGCGCGGUCCCCUACGCCGUCCUCCACCGUGCCCAGGAUGGCGGCCUCGCCUUUGCCUCCCGAUCCCAUCCACCGCGCCAUCUCUUCGCAACGCGAGAAAUGGGAGCCAAGUCCGGCACUAAAUCCGUCAAGCUACUACCAUCAUCAAACCCUAAGGAGAAAGAGCAUGAGGAGGAGGAGUCGGGGUUACUCUUGAGGAGUCGGAGGUUGCCGUCGGAGGCGGCGCGGAGGAGCGCCUCCUCCCGCUGCUGCUUCCCCAUCGCCUCCAUCUCCAUGGUGAUUGAGAAGUCGGGCGGGUUGUUCCCUUGCCGAUACGUGGGAGAGAGAGCGGCACUGCGCUGCGGGGUAGUACUAGUGUGUGGACCGUCUGGAGAAGACGAGGAGACCAUUUGAUGCGGACGAUGCUUCGGUACCAAGGCACCUACCUUUUGUGUUUAUGAUACGUGGGCCCAAUAGAUGACUGGCCCACAUGUCAGUGACCUAAAGUAGGUGCCUUUAAGUCACUGAAGCUGUGUCCAUUUGAUGCUCACUCCGUCAAAUUUUCUUCUUCUUUUUUAUUAUAUAUACCUUUCCUAUUAUUUUUGAACGACGAUAACUAGCCAUCCGCUUACACAUCGUGUGUCGUGAGCAGGAGGCAGCCCACGCAGGUUGUGUGUGGGCGAACAUUAGAAUUGCCCAUACGUGUGGGCGUAGCUACUUCGUGCCAGACGCCCAACAAAGUACUACUCAUCUUUAUCCCUCGCGUGUGGGAUGAAGCAAAAAUGCCCACACAUCUUGGCGCAGCUACGUUAGAUACUCGCGGGAUGACAAUUUAGUUGCCAUCCGGGAUGACAGAUGUAGUUAUCCGGCGAUGGCAAAUAUAGUUGUAAAAGCAUUGCAACUCUAUUUGUUUUGGUUAACUAUAGUUGCCAUGUCUAAUUUAUGGUAGUUGUCGCAUGUAAUCAAAUCAUAGUUGCCGUGUGUGAUUAACUACUUGCCAUAUAUGGUCAAACAGUAGUUGCCAUGUGUGUUUACCUAGUUGUCAUGUGUGGUCCAACCAUAGUUGUCAUGUAUGGUUAAUCACAGUUGUCAUGUGUGUUUAUCUGGUUGCCACAUACACGCAACUACAGUUGUCGUCCUGCAACAGAUCAUAGUUGCCAUGUGUGUUUACCUAGUUGCCAUGUGUGGUCCAACCAUAGUUGUCAUGUGUGUUUAUCUGGUUGCCACAUACGCGCAACUGCAGUUGUCGUCCUGCAACAGAUCAUAGUUGCCAUGUGUGUUUACCUAGUUAUCACGUACGCGUAACUGCAUUUGCCAUCCAACAACGUACGGGUGUUGUGUGGACGAAAAUCAGUUCGCCACACGCGCCUGGACUAGGUGUUGGCUAUGUGGGCAGAAACUAGUUCGCCCACGCAGCGCAGCUGCCAAACCGCGUGUUGCGGGCGUGUGGGCGAACUCUCGAACGCCCACACACCAGCACCGUCCUACGUGGCACGUGAAUUCUGCCUCAAUGUGUCAAGAUUCGUGCAAACUCGACUGGACGGUGAUCCAGCGUGUGGGCGAGUUGCAAAACUGCCACACGUGUGAGCGUUAGUGUUUUCAUAUUUUUAAAAGAAAGGUUCCAAUCUACUCCAGAUAAAAAAUAUCCAGAUCCAUAGAUCACCAACUGUCGUUGGUAGUACAAAGAACACUAGAAAUAAAAAUUACAUCCAAAUCUAUAAACCACUUAGCGAAGAGUACAUGUACUGAAGCGAGCCGAAGUCACGCCGCCACCAUCGCCCCUCUCUCAUUAGAGUCGGACAAACCUUAUUAUAGUAGACAGACGGAAAGUCAUCUUACUGAAAGUAACUCCAACGCAGCGACCCAAUUCGUCUGCGCGUGUCCAUUUGAGUCCACGUGGACAGAAAAUACGACCAAACGCAGAGAUCCAUUUCCAUUUUGUGUUUUUUUUUGUCCGACCGGACCCAUUUUCGUCCCAAAUUUGGGUCGGAGGCAGACACAAAAUAGACGUUUUAUGUGUCCUCUUCGUCCGCUGCAUGCGAAAUCUGACCCACCUGUCACAGACCCACCAGCUCCCACCUCUCUCUCCUCCUCUUUCUCUACCCACUCGACGAUGCCACCAAGAAACCACGUCCACGGCCGGCCUCGUCUCGCCCCCACCCCCAACGCCGCUGGAGCGGGAGCGCCGCCGCUGCUGCUAGAGAGCGCAUGGCAUGGAGACAAUGUGGAUCCCGUCCACUAUGGUGUGUCACAGUUACAUGGCGUCGAGGGCGAGCAUGUGGACGCCGUGCCGGGUGCAUCGUAAUGCGUCUACCCCCAUUGGGCACACCAGCUGACCCAAACGCAAAGCGGACACGCAUGUCCGCUUGCCGACCCAAACAGACAAAAGGCGAAAAAAACCUGCAUCCGUUUGGGUCACCGCGUUAGAGUUGCUCUAAGGCCUCAUAAGACGAUCGCACUAGAACAACAACCGUCAUCGAUGGAGAGAAUCAUAGAUCAGAAGGAUCCAACCUGCAGACACACGGACGCAGACGAACGAAGAUCAGAUCCAGGCGGAUCCACCUUCAUCAAACAUCUACCGGAACCCACGAGAUCCGUCAGAGACACACCUCCACAUGUCCUCCGACAACGCUAGAAACACCACCUAGACGGGAUAGGCGAGGAAAACCUUAUUUCAUCUUCAGGAAGCCGCCGCCAUCUCAUCUUGAGCAUGGCAGAAACCCCAACGAGACUGAAAAAACACCUAAAAGCAUAGCCGCCUCUUGCCGGCAAGGGCCGGGAUCCAUCAUGUCUCCAUAGUCCUAGAAUCAUAGGAGACCAAGCGGACCAGCGGCGGCCGGCGAGAGGGCAAGGAAACCCUAGUCGUGAGCCGCUUGGGUCUUUCUAUUUCUACUCUUUUUAAUUUUUAUUCUCAAGUUUUAUUUUAUUUUUACUCUUUAUUGAGUUAUGUUUUCUACCUUUUAAGGCUUAAUUUUUUUAGUAGUAUAUACAUGAACAUAUAUUCGUACUAAUGGUAGCAAGAUUUAAAUUUCUGAACUUUUUAAAACAUACUCCCUCCGUCCAAAAUAAGCGACGUGGUUUUAGUUCAACUCCACAUCGCUUGUUUUGGGACGGAGGGAGCAAAUUAUUAUUUUAGUACUUUAAUCUAUUUUUAUGCAUUAAUAAUUUUGAAUACGUGAUGAUCAUUUUAUUUCAUAUAUACUUACAUUUUUACCUAGUGCAUAAACAUUUCCCAAUUGCUCGUAAUAUGCAUUUCUCCUUUUAAUCUGGUUUCUGAUAACAUCUUGUAAAGUUUGUCAAGCAAAGUAUGGUUUUCAAGAUAAAAAAAUAAAUAAAGGCAUUCCCGAGUCACACCAUUGAGAGCAUUUACAACGCACGGCGCUAAGGCAGGCGCCAGGGUAGGAAUCCUGAUAAUUUUGCUCGGUUCCCACCUGAAUCUGGGAAUUCGGCUGGCGUCGAUGCCAGAUGAGUCGUCGGGCGCUAGCCCAAUCACCCAUUCUAUUUUUACAUUCAUGACGCUCGUACAUGGUUCCCAGCGACCGUUGGAAGAAGGGACUCUUAACCUGGGCGCUAGGAACGAAAUAAUAUUAUACUCCUUCCAUUUCUAAAUAUUUGUCUUUUUAGAGUUUCAAAUGGACUACCAUAUACGGAUGUAUAUAGACAUAUUUUAGAGUGCAGAUCACUCAUUUUGCUCCGUAUGUAGUCACUUGCUGAAAUCUCUAGAAAGACAAACAUUUAGAAACGGAGGGAGUAUUACCGAUCAAGCACCUGAUUAAGCGCCUUGCACGGAAGAUGCUCUGAGUGGGCACAUGUAAGAGAGUUAGCGGACUCCUCAAAAGCCCUUGAACUGCAUAAUAACCAUCAAUCUGGAGGCAAAAGGCCAAAAAACCACUAGAAGAGAGUCGUCGUAGCUGUUAGAAUCGCCAUAUUUCUUGAAAUGCCCUUGAUACCUGCAUCCCCCUAGCGACUCGCGGCAAGCAAACCUAACCGCCACCAAUCUUCUUCGUCCCUCUUGCCGCCAACAAAGGGCGUCAUCAGGCAAAGCCCGAGCGUCGGGGAGUUCGUUAUUAAAUAUUCCCUCCGUCUUAAAAUAAGUGUCUCAACUUUGUACUAGCUCUAGUAUAAAUUUGUAUUAAGCUCAACACAUUUAUUUUGGGACGGAGGGAGUAUGAUCUACAUGAGAUUUUAAAUGUGUAGGAAGUCCUCCCACCGGAUUUGGAUGUGUCAGCAAAAGAUGAACCAAAUCUCAGUGUGAGAGUGGGGCAAUGCAUGAUACCGAAUAGACUAGCAACAUGGAUAUGUGGAAGUGCAUGGAAGAUCACAAACUCGCAUUAGUCAUAAAGAACUCAAGAACUUAUGACUGACAUCUUCAUAAUCUACUUAGGGCAUCUCCAACAGUUUGUUUAUUAGCUUGUUGAUAAAAUACGUCAUGUCAUCAAUCAACAUUUUAACAUACAACUACUCCAAUGUUGUAUCUAGCUUGCCCAAUAGGAUGUGAGAUGAUAAAUAAGGUGCUCUCUCAUUCUACAUUGAAGCUUGUGCAAGGGGUGUCGGUUCAUGUACAUACAACCUUACUCUCUUUCUUCAUUUAUCGUACGACACAUCAUCAAAAAUCCUAUAUGACAAAGUCUACCAACAAUUAUCAUGCAAGUAUGCAACCAUUGAAGAUGCCCUUAAGAAAAGUUAUGAAACUAAGGCUGGCCAUAGUGGUGGUAUCUUAGCCAGUAUCAUGCACUCGGGAAUAGCAAACACGCCGAUGUGGCAAAGAGUUAAAGAAAAGAGAAAGGGUUAGAGUAACACAGAUAGAUACCUCAUCAUGUUAAAUACUAUGAUACUUUGUGUCAUGCAUGACAAUAAAUAUGAUCAUAUAUGAUACUACUCUAUUUUAUGAUAUUAGGCACUAUAUAUGAAGAUAGUAUCAUAUACUACAUUAUUACCAUAUGCAUAAUACUAGUAUAUGAUACUCUCCGCUAAUGAGUAGCCUAAUGCAUCUCCUGGGGGGGUUGUUUGGCGAAGCUGAAGCCUGUUGCACACCAUCGGCCCAUGCUACGCGAGCGGUUUAAUUACAAUGUCCCUCAACUCCACGUCGACAUACCAACAGCCUCAAUUUAAUUACGUAAAUUAAUGAAAGAAAGCGCAUUGACUCAGGCUGGUUGCGUCGGGCCGCAGAUGCAAAUGGCUCAAAUUUGAUGCAGGCAACCAAACAUGCCCAUAAUACAUUGCACCAAUAUUUGGUCAUAUGAGCAUACCUUAUAACAGACCGGUGAAGGGGUUCAUGUUGCCAGCGGUAGUGUCAGACGUGACGAGUAAGGGGCGCACCCAUGAUUUCCCACAUGCAUCUAGCUCUGGGGCAAUGGCUCUGAUGGUAGGGUGGGUGCUACAGUGUAGCUCCCGACUCAUGACCUGCAAGUGCAUACCACAGGGGGCACAUGAAUUAAGCGUUGCCUCUUGUACUGAAUUAUGAAUUUGUGCCUCCUGCGGGCGACCCGGGCGCCCAACCCUAGCCGCCGCCGACCCAACCCCACCUCCUUCCUCUCCUCCCGCCGCCGCCGGCGGGCACCGCCGGGCAAAGCCCGCGCGGUGCCGGCGGCGGCGGGAUCUCCCCUGCCUUCGCCUGGAGUAGGGGCCGCGGGGGUUCCUUCCUCGGGCGCGGCGGCGGAACUCGGCGGCCGGCGCGUCGGGUGGCGCGCGCUGGUGGGAUCUGAGGCGGCGGCCUCGCUGGUGCGGACGACACUACUCCGACGGCAGGGAGUGCUCGUCGGUGAGGUAGGCCGGAUCCCCUCGGCUGUGCGGGCAGCAAGGUCCCGGUGGGCGCUGGUCAUGGCAAGGGGAGGCCCCGGGCUCCCCUCGUCAGAUCGGAGGCGAUCUGGUCCGCUCGUGAUGCAUGACCUCCGGCCGGCCUGGCUCAUGUUGUGGCUGGUUCGGAGGUGGCGGCAAGGUGCUUGGCCGGGGGAAACCUUUGGCCGCCGGUGGCGGUCACGGCGUCGAUGGCGUCCCGGACGCCAUUCCCUCCUUGGUGGCAGCGCUGAGGCUAUACCUCCCCUGCCUCCCCCCUUCCCCUACGCCCGGGUGAAAACCCUAGUCCCGGUGGCUAAGCGGCGGCGGCGCCACAGCGUCGUCACCUUCUUGGAGGCGCCGAUUUGGGCCUGGGGAUGCUGGGUGUGCAUGGCGAGUUUGUCUGGUUCCUGGUGGCGGCCCGUCUGAUCUACCGCGUUGCAGCUCCGUGGCUGCGGUGCUUAUCUUCCGGCCGUGUCUCCGAUGGCGACCUCGCCCUUCCUCACCUUGUACUUGCCGUGGUGGAGCGGUACUUCAUCUCACUCAUUAAUGGCGGCGGAGAUCGGCGGCAUGGCGCCGUGGAGGCUCGGCGUCCGAUGCGCGGAGAUGGACUCGCGCAGGAGGAGGUAGCUGUCUGGCGUCAUGGUGACGUCGAUGGCUGAUGUGGCCUUCACAAGGUAGAAGACUCAAUAUCAUCUGAAGACGGACCUGUGGAAGAUGGCGGCGACGACGCAAGAGUGUGUCUGACCGGAUUGUGCCCCAGACCCGGUAUGUGGCUCGGCUGGGGCUUCCGGCUUUUGAUGUUAGGUUUAAGUGAGUAGUUUGGGUAGGGGCCCAGCUAGCAUCCCUUCAUCAUAUGGAUAAGAGUAGCGGCAUAUGUUGCCAAGAUGGUGGAUUCAGGUAUAUUGUUUGUAAUACUUUGUAAGGUCCUCGAGAAUAAUUAAUAAAGUGGCCGUAUGCAUCUUCCAGAUGCAGAGGCCGGGGGCCAUCCUCCUUUUCUAAAAAAAAAUGAAUUUGUGCCUCCAACUAAUUGUAGACUCCCGCGCUACUCAGGGACCCGACAAUGCGUACGACCACCACGCCCUUCAUGCCAUUUGCAACCGGCCAGGGCCAAUCCCAGUCUGCACGGGACCAGACCAACCUCGGAAUGGCUGCCACGGUCGCAAUGCCAAGUUCAACCAGAAACCUCAGUACUGAAUUCCAUGAUCCAACAACCAAAGAUAUAACAAGCUUUGUGACGAUAAAGUUUGUCUGACACUUGAACUGGAAUCAAGAUACUACGAUCAGCGAGUGCAUCCAGUUAUAUUUACAAACGAUGGUACCACAUAAGUCUUAAAAUACCAGGGUAUUCUACCGAAAAAGGCUUUCGCCCCGCUUUAUAAAUAAAGCAAAUCGCCACAGAGCACACAUACAAAUACCAGUUCAAACGCACACACCCAAGUCACACAAACAAGUACGGAGAUUUUGCUAAGGGCACAACUCAACAAGCCCAAAACACAAAAGGGAUAGACCCGAAGAGCCAAGGAGCGACUAGUCGGGUUCCGACGGUGGAGAUGGAGACAGGCGGGCGGCCAUCGAGCGGAGGUCAGCGAUGAAGGCAGAGAUGGCAUCACGGUCCUGGGGGCGGCUAAGAGGCCGCCAGAGCUGCAAGAAACCAGACAGUUUGAAGAUAGCGUCAGUAGCCCGUCGAAGAGGAACACGCUAGAUCACAAGCUUAUUACGGAUCGUCCAGAGGGUCCAAGCGAUGACUCCAAUCUCAAGCCAUCUAAUGUGGCGAGAAGUCAAAGGGGAGGACUGGAGCUCGUCAUACAGGUCGGGGAAGUUGGUGUGACACCAAGAUCCACCCACCACCUCACGGAAGCAGCUCCAAACGAAUUGAGCGGUCACGCAGGAGAAGAAGAUGUGAUUCGAGUCUUCGGGGACGUAGCAGAGCGGGCAAAUGUCGGAGCCCGGGCCAUUGCGCUUACGCACCUCAACGCCCGACGGGAGUCGCCUGCGAAUCCAUUGCCACAUGAAGAUUCGAAUUUUCAGGGGUAGGUGGNNNNNNNNNNNNNNNNNNNNNNNNNNNNNNNNNNNNNNNNNNNNNNNNNNNNNNNNNNNNNNNNNNNNNNNNNNNNNNNNNNNNNNNNNNNNNNNNNNNNNNNNNNNNNNNNNNNNNNNNNNNNNNNNNNNNNNNNNNNNNNNNNNNNNNNNNNNNNNNNNNNNNNNNNNNNNNNNNNNNNNNNNNNNNNNNNNNNNNNNNNNNNNNNNNNNNNNNNNNNNNNNNNNNNNNNNNNNNNNNNNNNNNNNNNNNNNNNNNNNNNNNNNNNNNNNNNNNNNNNNNNNNNNNNNNNNNNNNNNNNNNNNNNNNNNNNNNNNNNNNNNNNNNNNNNNNNNNNNNNNNNNNNNNGGGCGACGGAAGGUGCGAUGGCCUGGUAAAGGGAUUUGGUGGAGAAUUGGCCCGAAGGUUCAAGCCGCCAUCUCACCAGGUCCGGGCCAUCGUCCACCACCGGCUUGUGAAGUGCUACACAGUCCAGUAACUCACGCCAAGCGGUGGAUUCCGGAGGGCCGAAAGGCCUCCGGAAAGCAAGGCGCCCUAGAUCAAUAAGGGCCCUCUCAAACGAGAUCAGGGGUUCAACUGCAAUGGAGAAGAGAUCGGGAAAGCGCGCGGCAAAAGGGGAGUCUCCAGCCCAUCUGUCAAACCAGAACAAUGUCGUCGAACUGGACCCCACCGAGAUGGAAGUCCCGAUGCAGAGGACCGGGAGAAGCUGGACGACCGACUGCCAGAACUGCGAGCCACCAGAUCGCAGACAGAAGGCAAGUGGCUGGCCACGCAGAUACUUGUUCCGGAUCAAACCGUUCCAGGGAGAAUCUGCACUCUAGAAGUUUUCAGACUAGAUAAAAGGCGCUAGCAGCAAAACAAAGCCACAGAUUCUGCAUUGUAAGACGGGCG
rnacentral:lncRNA from 1 species